GUGCAGCCCGUGUUUCCCAGCAGGCUCCUGUGGGCUGAGCCCCGGCUGUCGUCAGCGGUUCCCUGCUCAUUAAAGUGCUUCGGAUUCUCUUCCCUUCACUCCUCUCCUGCUACCUCCUAGCAUCACAUUUUACUCUUCAGACACACUAUUUGCAAACUCAAAUUCCUAAGUUUUGGAGGAACCUCAUCUAAGUGAGUAGGUCCUAAAGUGAGGUAAUAAAGGAGACUCUCAGAACAAGAUUCUAGAAUUGGAUCUCUUGUUGGUCAGAUGACAACUAAGACCCUGUUACUGUCGGGUUUCACAUCAGGGAUUGGUUGGUUACUGCUGGACAUGCUGCUGAAGGAACGUCUGCUGAAGGAACAGAAUGAAGUCAUAAACAUGGAAAGGGAGAAGCCGGAAUACGCCUUCAGGAUUGGAAUGAGAAGUUAUCAGUGUGAACUCAUGGACUGUAAUGUGAUGAGGAUUGGAUGACGUCAUGAAGGUGGAGCCCUCACGAAUGGGCUCAGUGCCCUUUACAGUUAGGAGAGAGGUGGCUGCCCUCUGCUUCCCAUUAUGUGAGGACACAGAUAUCAGCAGUCUGCGACCUGGAAGAAGUUCCUCCCCCGACCAUGCUGGCACCCCGAUCUCAAGCUCCAAGUCUCCAGAAUUGUGGGGAAUAAAUUUCUGUUGCUUAUAAGCCA